AGAAAGUUAGGAUCGUGUUCUGUUGGUAACAUCAGUCUGCAAGGACCAACAUUUUCUGUUUGGCAGUUCUGUUUUUCACAUCUGCAUUUCUCUUCAGAAGGUGGGGAACUAAAAGGCCAACAAGACAUAAGAUGGCCUGCUGGAGCCCUGCUGUAUCGGCCAGAACUUUCUAUGGAUUCUAUCCUUCAUUCCACCGGAGUCUGUGUCUUUAUUCAACCAGAUUUCUGUGAAAUGAAGUGUAAGAGACAUGGAGCUCGAGCUUUGCACCCUAACUGAGCAAUGGAGUCCAUUUCCAAAGUGUUGUUGCCAGCAAUCUUUAGUACUAAGUCUAAUUACACUUUAGUACUAAGUCCAUUUACACCAAACAAUAUGAAUGGAAAUCUAUAUUCUGUAUAGCUGAUAUUGCCCUGGAAGGAAUGUCAUCAUAAUUUACAACUGCUGAUGUAAAAGGGGCUUUAUAAACACAUUUGACUGAUUGAUUGCUCAUUUCAAAUUCAUCAUAAAAUCAAAUUGGAAAAUGUAAAUGUUUUGUAAUCUGAUUAAAAUUCUUAUUUAAUCUCCGUG